CAAGCCCUGGAAACGGGGUCUAAUACCGGAUAUGACGCACGACCGCAUGGUCUGUGUGUGGAAAGCUCCGGCGGUGCAGGAUGAGCCCGCGGCCUAUCAGCUUGUUGGUGGGGUAGUGGCCUACCAAGGCGACGACGGGUAGCCGGCCUGAGAGGGCGACCGGCCACACUGGGACUGAGACACGGCCCAGACUCCUACGGGAGGCAGCAGUGGGGAAUAUUGCACAAUGGGCGAAAGCCUGAUGCAGCGACGCCGCGUGAGGGAUGACGGCCUUCGGGUUGUAAACCUCUUUCAGCAGGGAAGAAGCGAGAGUGACGGUACCUGCAGAAGAAGCACCGGCUAACUACGUGCCAGCAGCCGCGGUAAUACGUAGGGUGCGAGCGUUGUCCGGAAUUAUUGGGCGUAAAGAGCUCGUAGGCGGCUUGUCACGUCGGUUGUGAAAGCCCGGGGCUUAACCCCGGGCCUGCAGUCGAUACGGGCAGGCUAGAGUUCGGUAGGGGAGAUCGGAAUUCCUGG
rnacentral:rRNA from 1 species